UUUUGGAAAAUAGUUAAAUCCUCUCCAUUUGCUUAGCAGGAAAAACACUAAUUUACUGUCAAUUGGGAGUUUGUUAAUCUUAUCCCAGGACAAGGCAGUGUUCACAACGAUGAUUUGACAGAAGUCAUUAUUUCUCUACCUUUGAUUCAUGAGGGAAAGUUGUCAGACUCUGGUGUAGUGUAAGUUGGUCCUGGUACAAAAGACUGGUGGUUGGAUUAACUGUGGUAAAAAGUAUUUUAACCAUUUUGAUGUCGGACCUUGAACUACCUGAAGACAAAGGAAACUGCAGUUACAUGUGAGCCACGCCAUGAGAAAACAAACAUAGCGCGUUUGCACCCAGCAUGGAUCCAGACCAGCUUGCGCAUCUGCGCAGUCUGGUCAGGAUCCAUGCUGUUCGCUUUCAAAGCCUAUUGCAAUUGGAGAAACCGUUAGCGAACAGCAUGGAUCUUGACCAGACUGUGCGGAUGCGCAGGCUGGUCUGGAUCCAUGCUGGUCGCAAAAGCACUAUGUUGGUUUUCUCAUGGUGCGCCUUAUGUUAGGUGGUGCACCUGUAAUAACAAUUUGCAGUUUCUGUGCAGUUAUAUAUUCUUGUAUCACAUACAGGUAAUUCUGCCAUAAGCGAAAAUAUUUUUUUUAUUACAUCCAGAGAAUGCCAAAAUCAUGUACUAUAAUGGAAUACGUAAAUGAACAGAAAGUGCCGAUUGUCAUUAUGCAUCCACUACCUUAAUUCUUCUUUUUACCUACAUCUAAAAUCGCUGGUUACGGGUUUGUAGUAGUAAUAAAUAGUCCAUCUGUCUCUUCAUACUGCCUCACACCCCUCACAAGUAUUAUGGGCAGGGUUACGUCGGCUGUUAGAUUAAUAGUAUGAAAAGUGCUGGUCUUUUACCGACAAAAUGAGAAUAUGAAAAGUGACAGUGUUGUUAUAGAAGACUUAACAGUAGAAUUAAAGUAGUAUAGUAGUAUUAAAGUGUCAAGAUUUGUUCUCAUCUCUUGCUAUGUCAUAAUCCUAGUCAGUGUUUAUGUACCUAUAUAUAGUUGUCUAGGUGUACAUAAUUAUGAGAGAAGAUUUGAAGCUUGUUUGUUGAAUGGUUAUAGGUCAAUUACAGUUAUGUGAAUGCUUUAUCACUUCCCAUGUAAUAAGACACCUGUUCAUUUACUAAUUUUUAAAAACUAUGUUUCAGUGUUAAACAUUUUUAUGAGUUGGAAGCUCUGUAUAGUUUUUUCAUUUGUUGUCAAGUUUUUGGUUGCCUUAAGAGAAUUUAUAUAUAGCCUCACUUCAAGAGUUCUGUUUGGUACGAUAGAAUGUUUAGGGCUGUCUUAUAAUCAAGACUUCAUAUCAUUUUUUGCAUUGUAAUUAUUUUUCAUUUGUCAUUUUAAUACAUGUUUUGGUAUAAAUUAUGAAUGCUUAAUUUCUCAGGCCUUGCAUUGUUGUGUCUGUAACCAUGGAUACUGUAGAGAUACUGGAGAAAUAAACUUGCUAGCAAUGAUGUACUGAAAGCAUUGUUGGUAUUACAGUGCAGUUAGCGCUAGUCAUUAUUGCACCUCUUUAUUACGUCGCCAUUACAUGUACAUAAAAUUUAGUACAUAAUUACAUUUAUAUUGCUCAAUUAAAAGUGAAAACUGAUACGUUUUAUUUAGAAAGCAAAAUUGUAAUAAAACAGCUUACAGCUUUUAUUGAUUGAGAAAACCUAUUUUAUUUAAUCUAGUUGAAGUAAGGAUUUAAUUAUCUCAGAUAUCUUACUGGAUUGGAUUGUGGCCUUAAAGCUACAUGCCCAUAGUUAAUGUAAAAUGUUUCAGCAUGUUCAUUUCCAUUAAGUUUGGAGUAGAAUGUAUAUAUGACACUAAAAAAAUGAUAAAUUAUGUGAGAAUUAGUGUGAAAUAUAGGCAAGAAUAGUAAGAAGAAUGUUGAUCUUCUUUAUCUGUCAAAAAGUAUUACAAUGGUUUACUCUUUUUCUUCACAAUAUUUUUGGUAAUUUUAUCAAGCUGUCUUGUAAAUCUCGUAUAUCAAUAAGAGUUUAUCACUUUUCACUUUCGCAGCACCUGCAUUUCAUCGAUUUUUGAGAGAAAACACUUUUUGCCAAAGCUAUGUUAGUCAGUUGCUUUAAUUAAGGUAGUUCUGCACGUUUGAACCAGAGGUGAUUGCGUAACAUAUAUUUAUCUGGAAAAACACAGAAUAAAGCCUGGAUUCGGCAUAUGGAAAUGAAAAUUAUUUUAUGAACUGAUGGCAACCUUUGAGUAAAUUCAUUACAAUGGCACUGUUACUAUCUUUCUAAAGUUGAAAUAUGAUAUUAAAAAUCUGACACUUUAAAUAAUUUAAAAUAAUGUCUUAUAAUUAUCUUAAAAUGUACGGUUCACUUUAGAUAAAGUCAGAUAUCUCAAAUAUAAGCACGGACCUGUACAUUUAAUUCACCACAUUAUAGACAAUAUGUUUAUUUACGACUGUGAGAAGCUUCAUUAAAAUCUACAUUGUAGAAAAAUUUGCUGAAUUUAUAUUCAUAUUUUGAAGUUUUGAAAAAUCGGGGUUUAAUCAAAUUCUACAUUGUAGAAAAAAAUGUUGAUUCGAACUACCUUAAAGAAGCCUAACUAUUUUCCCACCUUGUCCAGAAACAGUUUUUGACAGACUCAAGCAGCUUGUGAACACUUGAAAGUAUCCACUUUAUCUAUAAGAUGUUGACAAACUCUAGAAAUUUUUGUUAAGUAUUAAAAUGGAUGAAAAAUUCUUUUCCCAUUGAUUUAGCUUUGAAAAUAAAGGUAGAUAGGCAAGGUCUGAGCAAAAUUCAGCAUACAUUGUUACAUUUACUUCAUUUUCAUAUACGUCAUUUUAUGUAUUGUUUUGUGAUGAAAGGCCAGUUUUACUAUAUUGAUUUGAGAGUUUUCAUAUGAUCUGAUUGAAAUACAGAUAGUUUAAAUAUGUUGUUCAGUGAGCGUGUACUAGACAAAUAUACUAUAAUUGAUCUUGUUAUUUUGCUUAUUGGAUAAUAUUCAGUAACUGAAUGAUUUGGUUAUUCCAUUAGAAUGAUACUCUGAAAUAUUUGUAGGGGGCUGAUUUUCAUAGAUAACGUAAUUGAGUUAAUCUUCGAAAUAUACUCACAAUGAACAAGUAAAUUCCUAUUCAGUUUUUGUCCAAAAGUUGAAAUCCAGGAAUUCAUUCACCUGUGAAAUUGCCAUUUUCAACAGAACUAUGAAAUUUAAUGCUCUCAAAAUGAAAUGCUUUUAUGGUAUCAAUGUCCUUUGUGUUGUGGACAGGAAAAAGUUGCUUAUUCAGUGAGAGAAUGAAAAGAGAUAGGUCAUAAAAAGUACAAUAUGUUUUAAUGCUCUUGCAAGAACAAAGAUGACAUACAAAAAUACAUAUGUGUGAUAUUAUAUUAUCACCUUGUUGUGAAAAAAACCUUUUUGAAAUAAACACUCCAAUGACAUGAGUAGUUAAGUUAGAAAGAGGGAUGGAGAUCAUCCUUGGUAACCCCUUACUUGUGCUAUUUAUAGAUUUAAAAUCUGUGCUAAUAAUAUUGCUGUUACCAUGAUUGUAGUAUCUACAUACAUGUACUGUGACAUCACUUAAUUUGGUCAGCAGAAAAUUUCAUGGUUUUGGAAAAAAGAGCUGUUUUGUUUGGAUUUCCACCUCUUGAGAUAUAAUAAUUGGAAAUUUAAGGUUUGUUUCUAUUGAAUGUUGUGGAUUAGUGCAAACGCAAAAUCCAUGAAAAUAAUUCCCCCAUUGAUAUCAAUGGUUUAAUAGUAUAUUAUUAGUGGAUGAUGUAAAUUACUAUGUCCAUGCAGGCUGAUCAUGGUCUGCAAUGUUCACUAUUCAGUCAGUAAAUUUUAAGUGAACACCUUUUGAAUGAUAAGUGGUACUGACCAAGUUGAAUGAUGGACCAUUCCAUUUUAGAAAUUUAGCUGGGUAAAGGUUAAAAAUGCUAAAUAAUGCAAUUCUUUUUUUUUUCUGCAGGAAAAGUUAACUGAUGACUCAGUUUUGAAAAUACUUUUUGAAAAAAUAAAAUAGUGAAAUCGUAGCUGUCUUUAUGGAAAAUUGGGCAAAUAGUUUAUAAUAUAAUGCUGACGUUGUUAAUAUUCUGUGCAGUACCAAUUUACCCCAUUGUUGUAUCACUUACCUUUGUUUGUGGGAUGUAUGAAAGAAGAUAUUGGCAGUGCACUUUAAAAUUGAAUGUUAAAAACACCACUGUCGGUAUUUUACUUCAGACAUAAACAGUUAACUUGGACACCUUGAGCAAUUUAACCACCAAAUUUGUCAUACAAGAUCUUAUAUUUUACUUUCCAUUUGAUGUUUAAGUAGAAUAUAAUUACAUGUGAAAAUUGUUUAAUAGGUUUUUGUUGCUGAAUUGAUAAAACAUAUGUAUUGAAUGAUUGCCUGUGUGUACCAUUUAUCAUUAUUGUAAGUUUACAUCAGCAAGUUUUUAUCAAUCACCAGAUGCUGUUUGCUGGUUCUGAAGGUCACUGAGUACUUUCAUCAGUCUAGAAUCUGGUUGAACCUCUAUUUGGCUGCCCAAAAGAAUAGAUUUUAGUCUUGUAACCAGACUGUUCAAAUUAUCUCAAAGUUUUUUGUUUAAGACAAGUACCUGCUCAGUAAAGCUGAAAUUAAAAUUAACUCAGUCAGCACUUGAUGUUAACUAAGGUGUUUCUUUGAAAUAACUGCAUAAACUAUUUUCUUAUUUGAAGCUUGUGAAAAUUGAAAUUGCCGAGAGCGAGAGCUAAUAUAAGCUUUGGUUGAAGUGAAUUCUCAUGUAGCUUUGUCACUGACUAAAGGGAAGUAACCCAAGGGCAUUAGAUAAUAUACUCAUAUUGUGCAUCACUCAUUAUCUCCCCUGUAUAUGAAAUUUAGCUACUAUUUCAGUUAGAGGUUUUUUUUGUAGAAUUGUUUGAGAUAACUCGGACUGCAUUAUGCUUGAUUCAUACUUAACAUUAGUCAGAAUUGUAGCCUUGUCACCUUGUUUUAUGCUUAUUUCAAAUAGUUCUUUAUUUACUCAGUGUAAUUUAUGUUUAAAGCAAUAUAAUACUGUGAGAGUUUUAAUUGCCUGGAUUUGGUGCUCUUUGUGUGAGCAUUAUUUUAUGCUGACUAUAAAUCCUUAAAUAACAAUAACAUGGUGUCAAAUAUUUUUAUAAAGCACUUAGUGCAGUUUUGUUAAAGCACUCUAAAUGGGAGUAAGGUACUGAAUUUUAAUUAAAUUCAGGUGAUUAUUUUUUAAAGAGAAGCACAAUAAAAUCACUUUUUAUGUUGGGUUAAUCAAUUAUGAAACUUAUUAUGAAUGAAACCUGAUACUUGGCUUAGUUUUACUUGUAUAAGAUACCAUUGGCAAACUGAUACCGGUGUGCUCAUUGGUUUCAAAUUUUAUUUUUGCUUAAAUACUGAAAACAAGGUUGACAAUGCCUUAUUAAGUAUUAAUGAAAGGGCAACUGAUCAGAUGUUGGUGCAUCAUGGGUAAUCUGGUGUUACAAUGGUGCAUCAUGGGUAAUCUUAUGUUAAAAGUAAUCUGAUGUUGUGUUGGUGCAUCAUGGGUACUGUGGUGUUACAAUGGUGCAUCAUGGGUAAUCUGGUGUUCUGUUGGUGCAUCAUGGGUAGUCUGGUGUUACAAUGGUGUAAGAUAUGAUAUCAUGGAUUACAAUAGAAUAUAAUCAUAUUAUGUACAUGUUACUGUAAAACUGCAUUAGGCGACAUCAUAGUUGUAGUAAUGGAAAAAUUUAAACUGAUUUUUAAAAAAGUCAAAAUAAAUCAACUCUCUGACAUUUUUGUGUACCAUUCAUUUAAAGCAUCUAACAAAUUAAACUCACAAUUUACAUUGUUAAAAUGUUUGGAACAUUUAUCUGUUUAAAAAUUUUGAAUAUUUAUGACCAGUAUCAGUUUAUCUUUUAAGUGAAAUUCCAUUUCAGGUGUUGUACACUAAGAUGUAUAAUAAGACAUCUGCAUCUAUAUAAUUUAGUUGGUCACAUGCACACCUUUCAAUGAGUGUAAUGUUGUUGCUUUAAUAUAGAUUUUUAUCAGCAUUUUAUUUCAUCUUCAGCAUUUUCUUUGUCAUAUUUUUGUCUGUUUGUGUGAAGUUUAUAUUAACCUUUAGCCUGCUGUUGGCAAGUGAUUUUGCCUUUGUGACCAGUGCACGUCAGUACAGGCUGAUCAUGGUCUGUACUGUUUGCUAUUCAGUCAGUAAAUUUUUAGUGAACACCCCAUGGUCCAGUCCAUUUUAGAAAUUUAGAAGGGUACAGGUUAAACAUGAGGUCUGUUCAUCUCCAGUAAAACUGUUACACUCUGUCAAAACAGAUA